AAGAGACAGAGAUGGAGUGAGAGAAGCUAAGAAAACAGCUAUCAGAGACGGUCAAAAGAGAGAAGGAGGAGAGGAGGAAGAUGGAGGAGGAGUGAGAGCGCAGAAUGCAGGAGGUGAAAUCCAGGAGAGAGGAAGCAGUAAGGAGACUAAAGGAGGAGAAGGAGGAGUUAAAGAGAGGUGGGAGGUUCUUUAAAAGACUUUAACUCGUAUGUAAAAAUUAUUAUAUCAUAGUUAAUACACAAAGACAGAUGUGCAAGGUUUGGUAAUGUGAAUAUCAAAACAACAAUAUAAACUAAGUAAUAAUCAUUUUAAUUUACAGGUGUGACAUUGUUAGAGGACCAAAAUUCUGAACUCACAGCAGAACUGAAUUUGCAGACAGAAGCAAAACAGAGGCUUGGUGAGCAGAACAUCAUCAAGCACUGGCCACUGGAAUGAAAUGCUUAAAAAGCUUUGAUCUGGACAGCAUUAAAACUGCAUAAAUGUUCAUGUAAAUGCAAUAAUCUGUCUUUCUCACAGCAAUUAGUAAACAUAUGGAAUAAACUAGAAAGAGUUUUACAUUUUUUUAUGUCAAUGACACUUAAAUAUGUUGACACAUUGCAAGUAAACCCUUCGUAAAUGUGAGGAGAGCUACAGUAUCUCACAGAAGUGAGUACACCCCUCACAUUUUUGUAAAUAUUUUAUUAUAUCUUUGCAUGUGACAACACUGAAGAAAUGACACUUUGCUACAAUGUAAAGAACUGAGUGUACAGCUUGUAUAACAGUGUAAAUUUGCUGUCCCUCAAAAAUAACUCUACACACAGCCAUUAAUGUCUAAACCGCUGGCCACAAAAGUGAGUACACCCCUAAGUGAAAAUGCCCAAAUUGUGCCCAAAGUGUCAAUAUUUUGUGUGACCACCAUUAUUUUCCAGCACUGCCUUAACCCUCAGUCCUCUUCCUCUCCUCCAUGACAACAUCACUGAGCUGGUGGAUGUUAGAGACCUUGCGCUCCUCCACCGUCCAUUUCAGGAUGCCCCACAGAUGCUCAACAGGGUUUAGGUCCGGCAAAACCUGGAGAAGGAGCUCAGUUGUCCACAGACACUGCUGGACAAAGAGAGCGCAAAGAACCAUAGUGUGCAACGCCAACAUGAGACUGUGGUCAGUUGUGCACAGGCGCUUCAGGUGAAACGAGCAGCUCUGUGGAAGCAUCUGGAUGUGCAUAGCAGUCUGGAAGAAUGUGAGGAUGAAAAAGCUGAUCUUGCCAACAAACUCACACAGAUCAUACAAGAAAAAGACACUUCAGGAGCAACUCUAACAGGUAAACGUUUAAAUAAAACAGUCAAAAAUAUUUAGCA
ensembl:lncRNA